rnacentral:tRNA from 1 species
GGACAUGUGCCUGAAUCCAAAGGGUUACCUUGAUAGGGUAAAUAAUAGAGGUUUAAAUCCUCUCAUUUCCU